rnacentral:piRNA from 1 species
UCUAAAAUUUUCAUUGGCUUCAUUACUUCA